UAAUCUGAAGUCUAAAGCUAGUAUAAGUCAACAACAUGACUAUAAAAAUGCGGAGCUAAGUCGAUCGGAAGACUCUAAAAAUCCAGAGAUAAAAGGUGACGUUGGGAAACACCUAAAAACCCAUAAUGUUUGUUUAAAUACAGCUGCAGGUACAAGCAAACAAGUUAGCGAUAAACAACAUAAAAAUGCGAACUUAAAC
rnacentral:lncRNA from 1 species